CAAGGCAGAGCUGGCCUUGAACCGAUUUCAGAUCAGGAUUGUCUUCUUUUUCCUCCUCAAAUCUCUCCAAGAGCAGAGCCAGGGACACGCCAGAGCCUCGCAGUGCCACGGGGGACUGUUCUGCCCCCGCGGCCCGGCGACAGGGACCCGCCAGCACCCUCAAUCAGCACCCCGCCGAGGGACCGCGCUGCCCGCACCGCGCUGCCGCCGCCUCCCUAUAACGCGGGAUGGGUUGUGCUGGGCGUGCGCUUCUUUCCCAGGGGGAAAACACCGCCAAGGGCUUCCCUCAACCCGCCCGUCUCCACGGCGACUGCUUCCCGAUCCCGCUGCCGGGAUCCCCAAGAGUUACAAUGCCGAUGAAGUGCAUGUUGUACUGACAGGAGCCCAUUAGCAGCAAGAACUACAGCUGACACACAGCAAUAGCUCCAGGUUGACCACUUUUCAUCCUCUCUUCUCCACCUCACCAAGUGUUAAAUUCAUACGGCUUGCAUAUCCAUACUGCCCAGAAAUCUUUUACCCAGGUCCUGCCAAGCAGAGAGGACACUUGCACAAGGUUAUAAAACUAGAUUUUAAGUCACUAGAGGUUAGAUAAAGACAGAACAAAUAUUCAUGUACAUGAUGGAACAGAAGGAAGCAACAACAGAAAGAUAUAAUAGUUAAUUUACUAAACACAGUAGAAUGAGUUAAUGCUUAAACCCUUCCAAAUACCAGUCCAGCCCUGGAGUGGGUUGCUAAUUUCCCCUCCAUCACCUAUGUGUCCUAGCAAUGGAGAACUGGGAUAAACUCUUCAUGUAAUGCCACCACGGCAGCUUCUUCAGACACAGGAAUUCCCAAGACCUGGCUGUAUCCUACAAGUACACAGGACUUCAGUAUCACUGCUUGCUUCUUCCUAUUCACUCACUAUAAUUCCUCCUCUGUUGCCACAGCCUACAUUAGCUGUCAACUCCAUCAUGACAGCCAGUAAAACACUCAGUCUCUGGAUUCCUUCUGGUAAACAAAUUACUGUGCUUGCACAUUUGAGGGACUCACACACCCAACAAGGCCAAAUAAAGCCCAAGAGCUUGAUUAAUUCCUGAUCUCUAGAAAUACCCAAAGUUCCGUAAAAUCCUUGAUACAAACAAUCUGUAGGAUGUCAUGCACUGCCUUCUGCUUUCAGCAUUUGAAGCCAUGUAUUUGCUAAUAGAAUCCUUCAGUUGUUCCUACAUUGUUCUGUAUAACCUUAGCAUCUACUGGGUGGAAAGGGAAAAAGGGUAAGAGUCACUUACUAAAUGCAAUUACAGAAUGAACUUCAGGUCACAUUCUUGAAGAUGGGAAGUCUACAUACCAAGGAAGUUUGUUAGUAUGAUGUAAACUUACUGGUUACAAGAAUAAAUCAUUAGAACUACAAUAAGCUGCCAUGAAAACAAAAUACAUGGAUCUGCAGGAACAUGUAAGAGCUUUAAGAAGAAUCACAUGCCUUAUUUUACUAACACUCCCAUCUCAGAACAGGUAAACCAUAAGUCAUUUUUUCAUCAGUUAUUUGGUUUCAUCUGCAAGAAGAAAGGGACACAGUUCUGUUAAAACUCACUAGGAAAGUUCUUAUUUCAAAAGAUAAGAAGCUAACACUUCAAUACAUAACAUCACUUGCACUUUGGGGGUUUUCCUUUAUCUUUAAAAUACAGAGCUAAAUCCAGGUUCCCAAAUAGAGCUAGCAGGCUAGCACAUCAGCGCAGACAGCUGAAAGCAGACUUCUGAGUUUUGCAUUAAAUACAACAUCUCCUAUGAAAAAUAAAGAACAGUUCGUAAAAUUUUAAUGCCAAAAAAGAUUUAAUUAUUCAAAAGAAAUGGUCUCGAUACGGAAGGUCACAAUACAAAGUUCUUACACACAACACACACAAGUUGCAAAACCUUUUGUUGAUUGGAAGCAAUUGUUUAAUACAAAGACUAGAUGCCAACCAUGCUUCUCAUACAAAGCUUGACAGUGGAUUCAUGUGUUGAUUCUCUGAGAUCCCCCUCAUUUCAAAGAAAUAUUGAAUAUUAAGGUUAUGGAUGAAGUGAAUUCAACAAAUUCUGUUAUAUCUGUCUCUACCCUCAAUUUUAAGCACUAGGAUUGUGCUUCAUGAUACAAAAUGGAUUAUAAAGGCACACUGUGGUUUGAAAACAAGGCUAGAGACCCUAGUCUUUACACUUUCUGGGGUUUGUCUGGGUGUUUUAUGAACACUCAAACAUGCAGGAAAAAAUCCAGCCCUUGAGUGGGUACAGAGUGAAAAAAAUACUAAAGCUGCAAAAAAGUGUAACCCAUUUAACGUAUAAAACAGUAUUUACAUUCUUAUGUAUUUCUUAGUGUUUCCUCAGCUCCUUUGAGGUUGCACAAUUUAGAAAUGAAGUACCUCUCUCCCAGUUAUUUCUGUUAUUUCACUGACAGAACUAGCCCCAACUGCACAUUUAAGAUCAGUGUUCACCUACAUCCUUUUUGUUGGUUAUGGAAAAGGACUGGUGCGCUGUUAAGAAGUGAAAGUUUCUGACCAAGCCAGUUGCUUGCUUCUUUAACUUGCUGAAUGCUGCUUCCCAAUUUAGAAAAAAAGCUUUAAAGCAAAUGCUUGCUUAAUUUUUUAAAAGCCACUAGACUGCAAGUCUUGUGUGUCAAGUUCUGGCACAA